AUGAACGCUGACAGAAUGCUUAACACAUGCAAGUCAACUUGAACUUCGGUUUGGGUGGCGGACGGGUGAGUAACGCGUAAAGAACUUGCCUCACAGAUAGGGACAACAUUUGGAAACGAAUGCUAAUACCUGAUAUUAUGAUUAUAUGGCAUCGAAUAAUUAUGAAAGCUAUAUGCGCUGUGAGAGAGCUUUGCGUCCCAUUAGCUAGUUGGAGAGGUAACGGCUCACCAAGGCGAUGAUGGGUAGCCGGCCUGAGAGGGUGAUCGGCCACAAGGGGACUGAGACACGGCCCUUACUCCUACGGGAGGCAGCAGUGGGGAAUAUUGGACAAUGGACCAAGAGUCUGAUCCAGCAAUUCUGUGUGCACGAUGAAGUUUUUCGGAAUGUAAAGUGCUUUCAGUUGGGAAGAAAAAAAUGACGGUACCAACAGAAGAAGUGACGGCUAAAUACGUG
rnacentral:rRNA from 1 species